UUAGCUUGCUAAGUUCGAUGGCGACCGGCGCACGGGUGAGUAACACGUAUCCAACCUACCCAUGACUCGGGGAUAGCCUUUCGAAAGAAAGAUUAAUACCCGAUGGUAUAUAUUUCCUGCAUGGGAGAUAUAUUAAAGAAUUUCGGUGAUGGAUGGGGAUGCGUUCCAUUAGUUUGUUGGCGGGGUAACGGCCCACCAAGACUUCGAUGGAUAGGGGUUCUGAGAGGAAGGUCCCCCACAUUGGAACUGAGACACGGUCCAAACUCCUACGGGAGGCAGCAGUGAGGAAUAUUGGUCAAUGGACGAGAGUCUGAACCAGCCAAGUAGCGUGAAGGAUGACUGCCCUUUGGGUUGUAAACUUCUUUUAUAUGGGAAUAAAGUGGGGUAUGCAUACCCUUUUGUAUGUACCAUUAUGAAUAAGCAUCGGCUAACUCCGUGCCAGCAGCCGCGGUAAUACGGAGGAUGCGAGCGUUAUCCGGAUUUAUUGGGUUUAAAGGGAGCGUAGGUGGGCGAUUAAAUCAGUUGUGAAAGUUU
rnacentral:rRNA from 1 species